ACGUAGGGGGCAAGCGUUGUCCGGAUUUAUUGGGCGUAAAGAGCUCGUAGGUGGUUCGGUAAGGCGGAUGUGAAAUCUCCAGGCUCAACCUGGAGGGGUCAUUCGAUACUGCCGUGACUAGAGGUCGGUAGGGGAGUGUGGAAUUCCUGGUGGAGCGGUGAAAUGCGCAGAUAUCAGGAGGAACACCCGUAGCGAAGGCGGCACUCUGGGCCGAUACUGACACUGAGGAGCGAAAGCGUGGGGAGCAAACAGG
rnacentral:rRNA from 1 species